CCUACGGGGGGCAGCAGUGGGGAAUAUUGGACAAUGGGGGGAACCCUGAUCCAGCCAUGCCGCGUGUGUGAAGAAGGCCCUCGGGUUGUAAAGCACUUUCAGUGAGGAAGAACGCCUGGUGGUUAAUACCCAUCAGGAACGACAUCACUCACAGAAGAAGCACCGGCUAACUCCGUGCCAGCAGCCGCGGUAAUACGGAGGGUGCGAGCGUUAAUCGGAAUUACUGGGCGUAAAGCGCGCGUAGGUGGCUUGAUAAGCCGGUUGUGAAAGCCCCGGGCUCAACCUGGGAACGGCAUCCGGAACUGUCAAGCUAGAGUGCAGGAGAGGAAGGUAGAAUUCCCGGUGUAGCGGUGAAAUGCGUAGAGAUCGGGAGGAAUACCAGUGGCGAAGGCGGCCUUCUGGACUGACACUGACACUGAGGUGCGAAAGCGUGGGUAGCAAACAGGAUUAGAUACCCGAGUAGUC
rnacentral:rRNA from 1 species